CUACGGGGGGCUGCAGUGGGGAAUAUUGCACAAUGGGCGCAAGCCUGAUGCAGCCAUGCCGCGUGUAUGAAGAAGGCCUUCGGGUUGUAAAGUACUUUCAGCGGGGAGGAAGGGAGUAAAGUUAAUACCUUUGCUCAUUGACGUUACCCGCAGAAGAAGCACCGGCUAACUCCGUGCCAGCAGCCGCGGUAAUACGGAGGGUGCAAGCGUUACUCGGAAUUACUGGGCGUAAAGCGCACGCAGGCGGUUUGUUAAGUCAGAUGUGAAAUCCCCGGGCUCAACCUGGGGACUGCAUCUGAUACUGGCAAGCUUGAGUCUCGUAGAGGGGGGUAGAAUUCCAGGUGUAGCGGUGAAAUGCGUAGAGAUCUGGAGGAAUACCGGUGGCGAAGGCGGCCCCCUGGACGAAGACUGACGCUCAGGUGCGAAAGCGUGGGGAGCAAACAGGAUUAGAUACCCUAGUAGUC
rnacentral:rRNA from 1 species